rnacentral:rRNA from 1 species
CGGGAGGUGAGUAAUGUCUGGGAAACUGCCUGAUGGAGGGGAUAACUACUGGAAACGGUAGCUAAUACCGCAUAACGUCGCAAGACCAAAGAGGGGGACCUUCGGGCCUCUUGCCAUCGGAUGUGCCCAGAUGGGAUUAGCUAGUAGGUGGGGUAACGGCUCACCUAGGCGACGAUCCCUAGCUGGUCUGAGAGGAUGACCAGCCACACUGGAACUGAGACACGGUCCAG